rnacentral:lncRNA from 1 species
AGCUACCAGAACCAUCACCUCGAGAAGUGCCGCAGACUCAGGAGUCAUCCCAUCCCACAUCUCUUCCCAGUCCACCAACCUCUCCGAUCUUGCAUCCACAAUCCCCACCACCACCAUCACCAAUAAUGCCUCAACCACCAUCCCUGCCACCAUCAAAACCCACUCCACCACCAUCACCUAAACCCCAUGCUUAACCCCAUCACCUAAACACCAUGCUUCACCACCAUCAUCAACACCGCAAUCUUCCACACCACCAGCACCCAAAAAUGACGAUAAGACACCACCACAAACAAAGAAAACAAAAUUCUCGGUCCCC